CCUACGGGAGGCAGCAGUGGGGAAUAUUGGACAAUGGGCGCAAGCCUGAUCCAGCAAUGCCGCGUGUGUGAAGAAGGCCUGCGGGUUGUAAAGCACUUUCGGCGGGAAAGAACAGCGCCUGGUCAAUACCCAGUCGUCUUGACGUUACCCGCAGAAGAAGCACCGGCUAACUCCGUGCCAGCAGCCGCGGUAAUACGGAGGGUGCGAGCGUUAAUCGGAAUUACUGGGCGUAAAGCGCGCGUAGGCGGCGCGAUCAGUCUGCCGUGAAAGCCCUGGGCUCAACCUGGGAACGGCGGUGGAUACUGUCGCGCUAGAGUGUGAGAGAGGGGGGUGGAAUUCCAGGUGUAGCGGUGAAAUGCGUAGAGAUCUGGAGGAACACCAGUGGCGAAGGCGGCCCCCUGGUUCAACACUGACGCUGAGGUGCGAAAGCGUGGGGAGCAAACAGGAUUAGAUACCCCUGUAGUC
rnacentral:rRNA from 1 species